ACAAGAACAGUCUUUAUCAAUGGAAAUAGCCUGACUGGAGACAAUACAAUCACUUAGGUAAAUAAGCACUGGAACCAGGAGUAUUUGAACAUAAAUUGUGCUCUCACCCAGCCACUGUGCAGAGGUUAACUCAAUGGGCUUUCAUCCCAAAAAUGCUGAAGAGUGUUAAAGAGCAUAAAAAUCUAGCAUUGCACCUUUGCUUCAAACUGCCAACAUUUAAGUAGCAUCGUUUAGUAAUAAAUGAGAUGCCCCUUGUGCUGGAAUGUGCACGGACUGUUUGCCUGUGGUAAAGAUGAGAGACAUGAUCUCCAAAAACACUUUAAACUGUCUCUUUCAGUCAUGAGCCACUGCUCUUUGAAACAAUUCCUGUGUGGUUCUGAGCACAUCCUGAGAAAAUGUUCUGGUUGUCCUACUUCUUCUAAUGUAUUCUCUAAUAAGGGCCCCUUUUAAUCUGUGUUUUAAAUCUCCUUUAAUCUGGUCAUGGUUUCACACUUUGAGAUGUUUCCCUGAGGCUUGCUCUCACCUCAGAAGAGGCUUGAAAACAACCAAAACUUGCUGCUUGCUUUCUCAGACAUGUUUGUGACUCUGUUUCUGAAGUCCAUGUUGGUCCUGACAGACAUUGCAGACUCCAUCCUAAAUCCAAGAAUGUCUUUGUAGCUGGCAAUGAAGUGUGGCACUUUUGGAAUUACUUGGUGAAGGUCUGAUGAGACAUACAGUUGGUUGUUCCCAUUUUGCAACCUGGGUGACUUAAGCAAAGUCAAUCCCAAGAACCCAUUUGAAGUCCAAAACAGCAUCUGGAAAAGAUCCCAAACAAUGUGGUAUGCCUGUGAGAAACAACAACAGUGCCCCAAAGCUCACUGUUUUCUUUGUCACCCCACCAGAACAGGGUGACAAUAAGGUGAAAGAGCAAGGCCACCUCCAGUGGAGGUGUAUCACUGCCUAGCUGUGCAGGCUUGGGAAGAGCACUGUGCUUGCCAGAUGUGCUCAGUGCAUUGCUAAUGACAUUGGCAAACCACUCUGGGUCUGUUUGUGUGUGGGUGUGUGAGGAGGACAUCCAGGAGUUGUCUUAUCUGACUCUGUCACCAGGUAACUUGCCUAAACUAAACCUAUGCUCUCUUAGUGCCAAUGGCAAGGUAGGCAGGCUGAUAACUAUAUUCUGAUCUGGGAGACAAAGAUUAAAAAACUACUUUAUAACGUUAUUAGCUACUAUUUAGUUAGCUGAACAUGUGAUAAAACUUUCCUCUCAUUUAAAAAAUAAGUCAAUUGUAAAAUAUUUUCAAAUUAUAGCACAUUUAAGACAAUCUUAAUUCCCUUCUAGGUUUAAUAUUCAUAUCUAACACUUUCCCAACUUCUUCAAUUUGCCUAUUGCCCUGAAUUUUGUCCCUCUUCAUUUCCAGCCUAGCCUGUUUGACUCCUCCUCAGACAACCUGGGCUACCCAGGCACCACUGUAGUGCUGCUGGCCUUAUUGAGGAGCAUUUGCUGCCUUUAGAAAUCACAUUAGUAGCCACUAACACCAACCAUUACUGAUUAGCAUGAUUUUUAUGAAAGUAAAAUAUCUAAAUGCUGUAUUGCUGACCUUCAGUGCUUUGAAAACACCCAAGUUCAAAACUUCCUUGCUUCAAGUGUGGAAAUCUCCAAGUGGAGUGAAGCCACCAACCCGAAUGUCUCCCAGGCAUAAGGUAUUAUGGUAGGCAUUGCUGUAGAAGAAUACAACCUGCACAGAUAUUUGGAGAAUGUCCAGCUGCUUUGAUUUAUACUCAAGUUGUGCUGACAGUCAAGUGAUCUGGAGAACAAAGAGAUUUUUUAAAGCAAUUUUUUAGGUUGUUUGGUAAAAAAAAACUUGGUUGGUGUAACACAACCCCGUUGAUGCUGGUGUCAGGUGUCACAUGCAAUUUUGCUUCACCUCUUUCUAAUUAAUGGUGAUUUCUGCAGAUUAAAAUUGCUCUUAUAAGUGCUGAAAAGCAGUCUUCCAUGUUAAACCAUGGAAGGUAUGGUCUGCCAAUCCUGCAGUACAGUGGACAGUCAGAGGGACAAAGCACUGAAAAUACAAGCCUGGCAUGCAUCUGGGUGGUGUAAUCAGGCUUCACCCCAACCUCUUCCUACUGUUGCUGUAGUCUGAAAAAUUGUGCAAAUGCAUUGUUGCUGAAUAAAGGAAGGAAAACGAAACAAGUGCAGAGAACAGAGCCACCAGCUCACAUUAGUAUUCUGCCCUGGUGAAAUAAACCAGAUCCUUCGCACUAAACAGGCACAAACGAAGAUCUCCUCAGGAAUAGAGCUGCUUGAAUAGGAAUGGCUCUAAUCUCAACAGUUCCACAAAUCCCCUUUGAGAAAAGGAAUUUUGGGACUCCUUAAAUUUUUAAUUGUUCCUCAUUUUCCGUGAAACAGCACUGUGCCUCAAGCACUCUAAUAACAUUCCUGGCUUGCUCUGCUGUAACAAUCUGUAAAAACUCAUCCAGUCAGAUGAUUUGGAGUUUAAUAUCAAAUUGCUUUGGAGAACAUUCAUGGUUGGAAGUGCAUAAUAAUAUGUUUUAUUAUUGCUGUAACAAAAAAAAAAAAAAAAGAAAAGCUAGAAGAGAAGUGGCUUGCUUUCAUCCAUUGGGGAUCUCUGCUUUGUUAUUACAUUCUAUGCAGUGAUAAUUAAUGUUUCCAUGACCAGCACUAAAAAAAUGUUCCCUGGCUAAAAUUUUCAAAAGUAACAAAAGUAACUAAUGAUUUGAGGUUUCUCUGCUUUUAUGUAUUCAGUUUGAAAUACUUGGAAGAUGGACCUGGUUUUCAGAAAAUGCUAAGCACUGAUUUUCUGCAGAUGGUCAAGCUCCCUUUCAAAACCUUUAGACCCUGUCAUUUUAAGACCAUGGUAGAUACUGUUUACUGGUGACAAAAGUAUGCCAAUUCAUGCAUUAGUAACAGAGCACCAGAUUAGAUUCCAAAUAAAUCCAUUUCAAAGGAAAAUAUUUUAAAAUUAUACCUUCCUUGUACCUGCAAGAACACACUUCUCAACCCUUGGGAUGAUUGGAAAUUACUUAAUGAACAAACAAACAAGCAAAAGACGGUAGGCCAGGGACCGGUUCUAGCAGUUGCUUUGUAUUACUCAGUAAAAGAAAGAUGAAGAAUGCAUACUACAGUCUUGGGUGGUGCUUGGACAUGUCAGAGUACUUUUGAAUGUCACUGCAUGUGUUAUGCCUGCCUGAAGCUGUCCUGGAGCCCAGCUGUCCUUUUUCUUGCAGGAGGAGUCACUAUUAACACCUAUGCAAAGAGGGGAACCUGCAAACAAAUCAGAAAGUGUAUUUUUCAGCCUUGAUGUCAGUGCUUAUUCAAAGUACAGAACAAUGGAGAAAAGAGCAUCAUAGAUGUUCUUAUUUCAUCCACCCAAAUGACUCAGCUUCCAAAAAAAAUCAGAAAGGCUUCUAGGUCUUUUCCCCAGCUCAGCUGCAGUGGAGGAGGCAGAGGAGAGCAAAGGACUGGAAAGCAAGUAACCAGCUCCAUCUGAGCUCUUCCUCCACCAAAGGGAUUACACUGGGGUAUCCUGAUUUCAUGCCUCUCUAUUUCUAGUCAUGUUCAGUUAGCCCAGAUUAAAAAUACUUGGACCUAUAUUGUCCAACUCAGCCCAGUCACUUUACCACCCUUGCCCUUUCUUUUCUUUCCAGGGACUGCCCUUCAAAGAAAGGGCAGGUAUGCUGGAUGUUCAGUCAACAUUUCAAAAAUAUAUUUUUCUUCUUAUACCUGAGGUUCCUGCAUUUUUAAGUGCAACUUUGCCUUCUAUUUAUUAGGCAAGAUAGAACUUCUGGUCCUGUAAAAUUAACUGCUUGUGAAAAAACAGGUCACCGUGCUGUGACUGAUUUUACAUGCAAGCAAAACUGCCAGAGGUCAGUGAAGGCAAAGCAGGGCAGACUUGGUAGGUGAAGGUGCCCAGCAGGAGCUGGCUGGCCUGCUGAAAAGGGUUCCUCUAGUCUUAAUCCUGAACCUGUGCAUGUUGGGAUUAUUUUUGUUAGACACCAGACAAGACCCUGCAUUUGCUCUACCUUUUCCAGGAUUUUGCACUUCUGCUUUGCAGAGAUCUCUGUCCCUAUUGCAAGUCCCUCUUGCUAAAUUUUGUGGUUUAUCUAGUACAUGCUCAUCAGCCUUUUGCUUCAAGGUAUCCUUUGCUGACAGGAUUUAUCCACAGACACCAAGACUUCCUCAGCAGGAUAAUGAAAGUGCUUAUUGUUUUACUCCUGCUCUCUUUCCUUGUUAUUAUAUUAGGUUUUCCAUCACUAAUUAUUCUUCUCUGCCAAGCAGAAGGAGAGAGUAGUGUUCAUCUUGCUCUGAAUGGAAAAAGACUGGAAGUAAGGAGGCAGCAAUGAGUAUUCCCACUUCUAAUGACUGCUCUGAUUCCCAUGGGCAAUCAUCUGGCUGUGUGUCACCAUGGCCUAGAAAAAGCAGCCUAGCACAGGAAAUUCCUACCACUGUAGCUGCACCUCAGUUCCACAGACAUGCAGAUUUCUGGGCACAGAUGCUGGGUCUGGGUCAGAACUGAAAAGUGGUGUUUGCCUUGCUGAACUCCAAUUCAGUUUUACAACCCCUGACACUGAACUUUGGUAUGUGGCUGAUGCUGUUAGGAGUGAGGGAAGAAUAUGUACAUUGACUAACUUCAUCAAACUUAUUAAGUUCCAUCUGGAAUGAAAAAGUUUUAUUUAAGGUUUAUGCCUGCAUUUACUUUCUCAGAAUUGCUCUAGGCUACAGAGAGGAUAAACUCUGGACAAGGGAGUGGGAGAGAGUGCUUGGGGCCAGAGCUGCAGAGGUUGCCAGGGUCAGACAAUUUGCAACACAAAAGUAGGAUCAGCCAGGGACACACAGGCAGCAAGGAUCCAGCAGAUAUGGGCUAAGGAACCAUAGUUAAUGUGGCAGCUCAGGACUGGCUGGUGAAGCAACCACGGUGGCCCAUAGCACAGAAAGUGGGCAGUGUCACCCAGGAGUGGCAGACUGAGGGCACUGUGCACAGCAUGCCCCGCAGCGCUGCAUUGUUGGCAGCACACACCCCAGGCUGGCGGCAUGCCUGGGAAAUAAACACUCAAAGAUGAAAGCAAGCCAAUGUGGGAGGCAGCAGCCAGCUCAGUUUCCAGCCUCUGAUCACCUUCUUCCAAGUGGUGUUUCCUCACAGCAUCCCCUUGUCCUCUUACAAUGCACAGGUCAUUGCCCUCCACCAGGAAAAUUAAUUGCCUUAUGAAAGAAGGGGUUGCCCAGAAAUUUCCCCAGCAAAUUGCUUUUCAUUCAAGGGUGUGUGCAGACCCUGAGAAAGGAAGUGACCUGAUUUCCUCCAAUAGGUUCAUUGCAGCCUCAUAGUUUGGAGCACCCACAACGGUCCAUGGCUUUCUCAUACCCUUCCCAGGCUUACUGACAGAGCUCUUCAGAAGCCCAACAAUUAGUACAGAUGCCCAAUUAGUACAGCAAAGCCACAGCAAUUUCCAUCAUGCUUUGAGGGCUCAGAGCUGGUCCCUUACACCAAUGCUUCCUCACAAAAUCAAAGUAUGGCUUACAGCUGUGUGGGUCAGGUUGGUGAAGCCUGGGCAUGAUAACCACCAGCUGCAGUCUUCAUCCUGCUGAGCUCUGCCCACAGCCUAAUUCUGCUGGUAUUAGAAAGUUUUCUUCUUGUUUAUAGCAUGUAGCAGCCUAUUUCCUUUCUUUCCCUCCAUUCUACCAUCAGAUCUUCAAAAUGAAACAAAGCAGUUGAUUAUUUCCCUCCAGCCAGUUAUAACUUCUUUGCCCUAGUAGCAGGCCAGAAUUUUCAUGUAGGUGUUUUCAUUAGAUGAAAACUGUUGGCUCAUCCUUAAUCAUGACAAAAAUGGUAAUAAUAAGAAGACCCACUCUACAAAUAUAAAGAAAUGCAGCAAAUCUGAGGGUUUAUGUUACUAAAACUUUAUACUUCUGAUAAGUUUUAGGUAUCUAGCAUAAAAAUUUUUUACUGCAUAUUGGAAAUGAAAAUGCUACCAUUUGCUAUAGAAUUAAUUAAAAAGUGGAACAGCCUAUAAGUUGAGGUUAAAACCGACUUUUGGAAUUUUUAUACAAGUGGAGUCAGUGCUGGAUAACUGCAGAAAAGACUGUUGUGGUUUAACCCCUGGCUUCAUCCUCUUUAUAUCUUCCCUUCAGGCAUUUAUACACAUCAAUAAGAUCCUCUUCUAAGCCUUCUAUUCUCCAGCCAGAACAGCUCCAUCUCCUCCAGCCCCUCUUCACAGGAGAGGUGCUCCAAUCCCCUAAUACCUUAGCGACCCUCUGUUGAACUCUCUCCAGUAGCUUUUUAUCUCCCUUUUACUGGGGAGCUUAGCAGGUUCAGCAUCACCAGUGCUGAGGACAGGAGCAGAAUCAAUUCCCUCAACCUGCUGGCAGCACGCAGCCCUGGAUACUGUUAUCCUCUGCAUCAAGGAUGUGUUGUUGGCUUAUGUUCAACUUGGUGCCUGUCAGGACCCUCAGGUCCUUCCCACAAAGCUGCUGGGACAGCCCCCUGCAUGUACAGGCACUAGGGCUGCUGCUCCCCAGGUGCAGGACUUUGCAUUUCCCUGUGUUGAACGGUUAAGCAGAUCCUGGCUAUGCUGGCUCUGUAUUUAUUUUGCCUGUUGUUGCUACCUGUUAGCACAUUCUUUCUUGCACUGUUUAUGUAGGACUGCCAAGUGGCAAUUUAGCUGCAUUUGUGCAGAGUGCACAUGAAUCCUUCAUGAGUGCUACCCUGUUCUAGAAAUGUAAAUUCACACAUUGGCCUCAUCAGUAUCAUUUUGAAUGCAACUAACAUCAAUUAUGUAUGUUUCAUUAUAUUUUUCAUCCUUUUCCAAGGUGCAGAAUUGCUUAUAGAGUGUAUUAUUUCACCUUUGGGUUUUUUUGCUGGUAAUGUAUAUGCUAGGCCAUGUUCUGUAGGCUGAAGUAUUUUAAGCUGUCUCCAAGUUAAUCCAGGGUGGUUAGCACAGAUUCUGCUCACAGGUCAAGUGCUGCACCUUCCCCUGAAGCACUUGGUGGCUUCCACUGAACUUGUUUUAAUUUGUUGACAUUUUGUUUGCAUUUUGGGACCCCAAACUGGAUACACCAUUCCACAAGCAGCUAAGCAGAAAUAAAUAAUCACUUCCUUUGGCCUACUGGCUAUGCUUCCAGCGGUAUGACCUGGGAUGCUCUUGGCCGCCUUCACUGCCAGGACACACUGCUGUCCAACAAGACCCCGCAUCCCUUCCUGCAAAGCUGCUCCACAGCCCAUCAAUCCCCACCCGGUACUGUUGCAGAGGCCUGUUCCUUCCCAAGUGCAGGACUUGUCAAAUUUCCUUGUAUUUGUCCUUGCUGAGUUUAUAGUCUUCGUGUCAGGUCAUUCCCCCGAGCGGUCUGGAUGCAUUUAAAUGGCAGCUCUGUCCUUCAGCACUCACUGCUCCUGCUUCAGCAGUGCCUGCCUUGUUGAGCACAAACUCUGUCUCCUGCUUAAAGGUCUCUGAGAAAGAUGCCAAAAGAACCGGCUCCUGCCAUUCUCUGCUUGCUGCAGAGUAAACCCAAGGAGCCUGACAUGUAUGCAUCUUUUCCCAUCCCACCCUCUCCCUGUGGUGUCCCAGUGUGUCUGCCAGACACAGGAAGAUGCGAUGUGUUCUGCUGCUCGGAACAGCAGCACUUUUUGCGCUUCUGCAGCACAGAGCGAUUCCUUUACCCGACGUGAUCGGAUGUUUCUUCACCUGCACUCAGGCCAAGCCAUGGAUUUUCCCUCCAUUAUACGGAGGAAGGGAAACUGCUCCGAACGGAGAAUUACUCCCAACAACACCGACGUGUCUCCGAGGCUCUCUACGCGUAAGCUUUUCCUGCUCCUUGCAAGGAGCCGCCUGACGCCUGCAGCGCCGGGGCGGUCCUGCUGCGCGGCAUCCGGCGCCCCGGGAGCGGGGCUGGAAGGCAGCUUCCCCUCACGGCUCCCGUUCCGCCCUGACGCGGC
ensembl:lncRNA